CUUUGGCUUUGAAGCGGCGUGCAGAUCGAGCGAAUCGCGGAGAGAGCUAGCGAAGGGCUGCAGGCGAACUGGGAAGAGAACCGAGAGUGGCUUGCUGAUGUGCGCCAGAGAGAGGGCUUCUUCUGCGAUUAAGGGGAAUCGGAAGGAGAGCUUGCAUCUGGAAAGAGGGCAUCGUUGGGUGGCCAUUUUCGGAGGAGUUGAGGAAUCGGAAGGUAGACAAAGAGGCUUUCUCAGGUGUUAUCUAUCCAUUGUAAUUUUUUUUAAAGAAAUUUGGACCUCUUUGAAAGAUUUACAUAGAUUCAUUCA